UACGGCCACAUAGCGUUGAAACACCGGUUUCCGUAUGAUCAUCGAAGGUAAUCAAAAUCGAGUUUGGUCAGUACGUAGAUGGGUGACCACUUAGGAAUACCAGGUGCUGUAAG